rnacentral:tRNA from 1 species
GGAGAGGUGGCAGAGUGGCCGAUUGCACCGGUCUUGAAAACCGGCGUAGGGUCAAACCUACCGGGAGUUCGAAUCUCCCCCUCUCCG